GAUGAACGCUGGCGGCGUGCCUAAUACAUGCAAGUCGAGCGAAGCGGGGACGGGUGAGUAACACGUGGAUAACCUCCUAUAUGACUGGGAUAACUUACGGGAACCGGAGCUAAACCGGAUACUUAUACAUGGUUCCGUGAUGGAUUAGCUAGUUGGUAAGGUAACGGCUUACCAAGUCAACGAAGCAUAGCCGACCUGAGAGGGUGAUCGGCCACACUGGAACUGAGACACGGUCCAGACUCCUACGGGAGGCAGCAGUAGGGAAUCUUGCGCAAUGGGCGAAAGCCUGACGGAGCAACGCCGCGUGAGUGAUGAAGGUCUUCGGAUCGUAAAACUCUGUUAUUAGGGAAGCGGUACCUAAUCAGAAAGCAACGGCUAACUACGUGCCAGCAGCCGCGGUAAUAC
rnacentral:rRNA from 1 species